rnacentral:rRNA from 1 species
AGAUUGAACGCUGGCGGCAGGCCUAACACAUGCAAGUCGAGCGGUAGAGAGGUGCUUGCACCUCUUGAGAGCGGCGGACGGGUGAGUAAUGCCUAGGAAUCUGCCUAGUGGUGGGGGAUAACGUUCGGAAACGGACGCUAAUACCGCAUACGUCCUACGGGAGAAAGCGGGGGACCUUCGGGCCUCGCGCCAUUAGAUGAGCCUAGGUCGGAUUAGCUAGUUGGUGAGGUAAUGGCUCACCAAGGCGACGAUCCGUAACUGGUCUGAGAGGAUGAUCAGUCACACUGGAACUGAGACACGGUCCAGACUCCUACGGGAGGCAGCAGUGGGGAAUAUUGGACAAUGGGCGAAAGCCUGAUCCAGCCAUGCCGCGUGUGUGAAGAAGGUCUUCGGAUUGUAAAGCACUUUAAGUUGGAGGAAGGUUGUAACUUAAUACGUUGCAACUUUGACGUUACCGACAGAAUAAGCACCGGCUAACUUCGUACCAGCAGCCG